UGGGGAAUUUUGCGCAAUGGGGGAAACCCUGACGCAGCAACGCCGCGUGAGUGAUGAAGGCCUUCGGGUCGUAAAGCUCUGUCAGAGGGAAAGAAGUGUAUUGUGGCUAAUAUCCAUGAUACUUGACGGUACCCUCAAAGGAAGCACCGGCUAACUCCGUGCCAGCAGCCGCGGUAAUACGGAGGGUGCGAGCGUUGUUCGGAAUUAUUGGGCGUAAAGCGCGUGUAGGCGGUUUGGUAAGUCUGAUGUGAAAGCCCCGGGCUCAACCUGGGAAGUGCAUUGGAAACUGUCAGACUUGAAUACGGGAGAGGGUAGUGGAAUUCCUAGUGUAGGAGUGAAAUCCGUAGAUAUUAGGAGGAACACCGGUGGCGAAGGCGGCUACCUGGACCGAUAUUGACGCUGAGACGCGAAAGCGUGGGGAGCAAACAGG
rnacentral:rRNA from 1 species